AUUGAACGCUGGCGGCAGGCCUAACACAUGCAAGUCGAGCGGAUGAAGGGAGCUUGCUCCUGGAUUCAGCGGCGGACGGGUGAGUAAUGCCUAGGAAUCUGCCUGGUAGUGGGGGAUAACGUCCGGAAACGGGCGCUAAUACCGCAUACGUCCUGAGGGAGAAAGUGGGGGAUCUUCGGACCUCACGCUAUCAGAUGAGCCUAGGUCGGAUUAGCUAGUUGGUGGGGUAAAGGCCUACCAAGGCGACGAUCCGUAACUGGUCUGAGAGGAUGAUCAGUCACACUGGAACUGAGACACGGGCCAGACUCCUACGGGAGGCAGCAGUGGGGAAUAUUUGACAAUGGGCGAAAGCCUGAUCCAGCCAUGCCGCGUGUGUGAAGAAGGGCUUCGGAUUGUAAAGCACUUUAAGUUGGGAGGAAGGGCAGUAAGUUAAUACCUUGCUGUUUUGACGUUACCAACAGAAUAAGCACCGGCUAACUUCGUG
rnacentral:rRNA from 1 species